rnacentral:rRNA from 1 species
CGCGUAGGCGGCCCUGCGUGUCUUCCGUGAAAUCCCUCGGCUUAACUGAGGACGUGCGGAAGAAACUGCAGGGCUCGAGUCCGGGAGAGGGGGGUGGAAUUCCCAGUGUAGCGGUGAAAUGCGUAGAUAUUGGGAGGAACACCGGUGGCGAAGGCGGCCCCCCUGGACCGGUACUGACGCUGAUGCGCGAAAGCGUGGGUAGCAAACG